AUAAAGAAGAAUGAAAUCAUGACUGUUCCAGCAACACGGAUGGAACCGAAGACCACUAUCUUAGGUGAAAUAACUCAGAAACAAAGUCAAAUACUGCAUGCUUUCCCUUAUAUGUGGGAGCUAAAUAAUGUGUACAGACAGAGAGGGGAAUAACAGACAUUGGAGACUGGAAGGGUGGGAGGGUGGGAGGGAGGAAUGAGAAAUUACUUCAUGGGCAGAAUGUACACUAUUCAGUAAGGGUAACACUAAAGCCCAGACUUUUCCACCAUGCGAUAUGUCCAUGUAACAAAACUGCAUGUGUACCCCUUAACUUUAUACAUAUUGUUAAGCUGGAAAGGUGUGUGUAUGUGAACACAGUAAACAUGUAAGUAUAAACAC
rnacentral:lncRNA from 1 species